rnacentral:rRNA from 1 species
UACGGAGGGGGCUAGCGUUGUUCGGAAUUACUGGGCGUAAAGCGCACGUAGGCGGCUUUGCAAGUUAGAGGUGAAAGCCCUGGGCUCAACCCAGGAAGUGCACUCGAAACUGGAGGGCUAGAGUAUCGGAGAGGUUGGUGGAAUUCUCGGUGUAGAGGUGAAAUUCGUAGAUAUCGAGAGGAACACCGGUGGCGAAGGCGGCCAACUGGACGAAUACUGACGCUGAGACACGAAAGCGUGGGGAGCAAACAGG